AUUGAACGCUGGCGGCAGGCCUAACACAUGCAAGUCGAGCGGAUGCAUGGGGCUUGCUCCUGCAUUCAGCGGCGGACGGGUGGGUAAUGCCUAGGAAUCUGCCUGGUAGUGGGGGAUAACGUCCGGAUACGGGCGCUUAUACCGCAUACGUCCUGUGGUAGAAAGUGGAGGAUCUUCGGACCUCACGCUAUCAGAUGAGCCUAGGUCGGAUUAGCUAGUUGGGGGGGUAACGGCCUACGAAGGCGACGAUCCGUAACUGGUCUGAGAGGAAGAUCAGUCAGACGGGAUGUGAGACAGGGCCGAGACACUGACAGGGGGCAGCGGUGGGGAAUAUUGCGCGAGGGGGGAAAGGCGGAUACUGCAAAGUGGGGGGUAGCAAGAAGCACUUAGGACGGGAGAGCGAUGAAGGUUGGGAGGAAGGAAAGUAAGUUAAUACCGGACGGUAUUGACGGUACCAGCAGAAUAAGCACCGGCUAACUUCGUG
rnacentral:rRNA from 1 species